CCCCUAGAUGUUCUGGGCCGCACGCGCGCUACACUGAACAGUUCAACAAGUCUUAACCUUGGCCGAUAGGUCUGGGUAAUCUUUGAACGCUGUUCGUGAUUGGGAUAGACCUUUGCAAUUAUGGGUCUUCAACGAGGAAUUCCUAGUAAACGCAAGUCAUCAGCUUGCAUUGAUUACGUCCCUGCCCUUUGUACACACCGCCCGUCGCACCUACCGAUUGAAUGGUCCGGUGAAAUCUAGGGACGGCGGCUUGGUCGCUUGCGUCCGACUGCUGAAACUUGAUUAAACCAUAUCAUUUAGAGGAAGGUGAANUCGUAACA
rnacentral:rRNA from 1 species